UCUGAAUGCUGAAGUAAAAUAUUCCAGUUUUAAAAGUAUGCCAAUUUUCAGUGGGAAUAUAUUUUAUAUGUUUUUGAAUAAUAAUCAAGAAUUUUAUUUUUUUUCCUCCUCGCAAUGAUGUCUCAAGGUAGUCAGUUUUUGUAUUCAACUUUUGGCUAUACCCUACUGGCAGCCAUAGUAGAGAGAGCUUCAGGAUGUAAAUAUUUGGACUAUAUGCAGAAAAUAUUCCAUGACUUGGAUAUGCUGACGACUGUGCAGGAAGAAAACGAGCCAGUGAUUUACAAUAGAGCAAGAUUUUAUGUUUACAAUAAAAAGAAACGUCUUGUCAACACACCUUACGUGGAUAACUCCUAUAAAUGG
rnacentral:sRNA from 1 species